rfam:Oryza barthii chromosome 1, whole genome shotgun sequence.
AAAAAGUCAAACCCUGAGUUUUCGUGUCCAACUUUGACCGUCUGUUUUAUAUAAAAUUUUUUUAUAAUUCGUAUUUUUAUUGUUGUUAGAUGAUAAAACAUGAUUAAUAUUUUAUGCGUGACUUGUCUUUUUAAUUUUUUUCAUAAUUUUUUUAAAUAAGAUGGACGGUCAAACGUUAGACACAAAAAUCAGGGUUUGUCUUUUU